ACGGGGUGCAGCAGGCGCGAAAACUUCACACUGCAGGAAACUGUGAUGAGGGAACUCCAAGUGCUAUCACUAUGUGGUAGCUUUUCUUAACUAUUAAUCGGUUUUGGAAUAAGGGCUGGGAAAGACCGGUGCCAGCCGCCGCGGUAAUACCGGCAGCUCAAGUGGUCGUCGCUUUUAUUGGGCCUAAAACGUCCGUAGCCUGUUUGGUAAAUCUGUGGGUAAAUCAACCAGCUUAACUGGUUGAAUUCUGCAGAGACUGCCAGACUAGGGACCGGGAGAGGUGUGGGGUACUCUAGGGGUAGGGGUAAAAUCCUGUCAUCCUUAGAGGACCACCAGUUGCGAAGGCGCCACACUGGAACGGAUCCGACGGUCAGGGACGAAGCCUAGGGGCACGAACCGGAUUAGAUACCCGGGUAGUCCUAGGUGUAAACGCUGUGAACUUGGUGUCGGGGAUCCGUAAUGGGUCCUCGGUGCCGGAGUGAAGAUGUUAAGUUCGACUGGCCUGGGGAGUACGGUCGCAAGGCUGAAACUUA
rnacentral:rRNA from 1 species